AUUGAACGCUGGCGGCAUGCUUUACACAUGCAAGUCGAACGGUAACAGGCCGCAAGGUGCUGACGAGUGGCGAACGGGUGAGUAAUGCAUCGGAACGUGCCCAGUCGUGGAGGAUAACGCAGCGAAAGCUGCGCUAAUACCGCAUACGAUCUAUGGAUGAAAGCGGGGGACCGUAAGGCCUCGCGCGAUUGGAGCGGCCGAUGUCGGAUUAGGUAGUUGGUGGGGUAAAGGCUAACCAAGCCGACGAUCUGUAGCUGGUCUGAGAGGACGACCAGCCACACUGGGACUGAGACACGGCCCAGACUCCUACGGGAGGCAGCAGUGGGGAAUUUUGGACAAUGGGCGCAAGCCUGAUCCAGCAAUGCCGCGUGCAGGAAGAAGGCCUUCGGGUUGUAAACUGCUUUUGUACGGAACGAAAAGGCUCUGGUUAAUACCUGGGGCUCAUGACGGUACCGUAAGAAUAAGCACCGGCUAACUACGUGCCAGCCGCCGCGGUAAAAC
rnacentral:rRNA from 1 species